AAAGGAAGGAGGGGGAGAGGUGGGAAGGAGCGGGGGAGAGGAGGGAGGGGAGGAGGGAAGGAAAGGAGUCAGGAGGAAAAGCGGGGAGAAGAGGGAAGGGAAGAGCUGGCUCUCGCCCAUUCCUGGUGCCUUUGGCUUUGUAAGCUCAAAAAGGAAAGAAACUCCCUGAGUCUCAACCACGGUCAGAGUACAGGAAUUUGUUCUCUAAAAGAGAACAGGAAUCUGUUCUUCAGAAUUGUUUCUCAUCCACAGCUCCCAGUAGCUGGUAGACUCAGAAUCUUGUCUAGUGAGAAGUCUAAGGAUAAAUCUCCAGGAGAAAGACGGUCCAGUGGUGGUAUUUAUUGAUGCUGACCAAACUGUCUCCUGGAGGUCUUAGAGACUGUGCUACAUGUGUCGUUUGCCUCUCUGGAUCCACCUUCGACCCUUCUACAAUCAGCUCCAAAGUCAAGCUUCAGUCUUCCAUCCCACCAGACAGCAGCUGUGGCCAUGGGCACCCAUCCUCCCGCGCUCCACGUUUGCAAUUGCUCCAGUCACACUUCCUUGACCUCUGGGUCCCAGUUACAUUUGGCCAAUGGGAAGUGUGAGAAUAAGGAUGCUCAAGGAUGCAGUCAACCUCUUCAUUCUCCUGGUUCCUCUCACUGGCCAGAGGCUGCAGGGCCUGCUCCCUCCACCAGAGACCACAGCUUUGGCAGGGUGGGAAAGAAGUCAACUUCGUUCCUUGAGCACACACCAGCAGCUUCCCAAGUCACUGUGGAAAGACAGCUCAGUCUGCAGAGGCCUGAAUGGACCUGCACCAGAAGAGAUGUGGUUUUACUUUGGGCCUGGGUUCUGACCUCAGGAUGGAUGAGAAGGUUCCAUCGUGUUCAGACUGGGUGUCCCGAGAGCUGCUCCUCCUCGGCUUCUCAACAGCCAAGCAGAGCUGGGUGGCCUCUGCCAUCCAAGGGCAAAUUGCUCCUGGGGCAGAAGGGUCAAGGACAGUCCUCAGUAUCAGCUUGGUCUCACUGCAGUCAUGUCAGGUUUUACCUCUGGACUAACACAGUCCUUCCUAGAGAGUAAGAUACAAUAAAAAUGCCCGUGUAUUGUGGACUAUUCCUUUACACUGUG